rnacentral:lncRNA from 1 species
GAUUGUGGAAACCUUUCUAAUAUUUCAUAUCCUUUCUGGACCGAUCAAUAUAAUCGACCUUCAUAUUGCGGUUACGGUAAUGAAGGGUAUAAGCUGAAGUGCAGGCAGAAUCUACCCCCUGUUAUGACGCUCAGUUCCCAAGAAUUCUAUGUGCUGCAUCUCAAUCGGUCUCAUGAUUUGUUGACAAUCAAACGAGUGGAAUUGAACAACACUUGUCCUCAGCCGAUUUUGAUAAACAAUGUUUUUAAUCAUACUGAAACUGCUGAAAACAUUACUCUGUUCUACGACUGCCGAAGCAGGGGAGGUCCGAAUCAUCGUUUCAGUUGCAGAAAGGGUGGAAAAGAAACUUCCCUCAUGUUCUUUAAGGAGGAUGAAAAUGAAUGUAUUGGAUACAGUGAAGAAGUUGAAAUUCCUAUUGGGAAAAAGGCCUUUGAUUAUCUGAUUGGGGGAAUCAGCACCGUGAAUGAAAGUUUACUCGAACCCUUUGAUAUUAAAUACUUCGCAUACGAUGAUUAUUGCAAAAUAUGCAAGGAUUCUGGCGGAAGAUGUGGAUACAAACAAAAUGAAAC